rnacentral:misc_RNA from 1 species
GAAAGGAUAAGCAUAUUCCAUAUAUAUCCGAUCUUAUCAGUAAUGCCCCAUGUUUAUGUGAUCAAAGAUAUCUUCAUUUCCAUUACAUGUUCUGCAGCACAACGCCUAAGAACAAAACACACAAGCCAUGUUUCGUUCUUUUAUCUAUUCAAGAUUAAUAUUACAAUACACAUUCACUCACACGCAUAGAUAGACCUUGAUUAUUUUUCAGAUGCUUUCAAAGCCUCACAUAAUAAGACAUCAGAACAUGUAUAUGUAUGCCCUUGCUACUCAACAUCUUUUUCUCUGACCAUUUCCAAGGGGAAAUGAGGAGAUCUCGCAGGGCAAAACACAACCCUGUAGUUUGUCCCACCAGGGCAUGUAAAUGUGCUUGAAGGAUCAUCCUGAGGGUAACUAUAAGCAUCACUGCAUCUGCUUUUGAAAAACUUUGAGAAUUCGGUAGGUCCACAGGUUCCAUAUCCUUCAGUACAACAAUAUUCGUUGGUCUUAAACACUGUGCAAGGAUUGUUACACCCACCAGGAGCCUUCAAUUCUUUAGGGCAUUGCCCAUUAAUGUCAGCAGUGCAGAAAAGUGGACGGCACUUAUCUUUUGCACCAGAAGUUGGACUAAACUCUAUAGGGAUAUUAAACCCGUCAACAAGGGAUAUAUCAUAAAAAUCCAAGUUCCCAAAUUGGUUUAGGGCAUAUUCAGCCAGAGUAUUAGGAGGGACACCCCAACCUUGGCAAGCUAGGAUUCCACCACAAUCCCCUGUUUGGCAAUGACCCUUGCCACUGCCAUCAAAGUUGCAGUUUGUCCGUCCCCAGAUACGAGCCAUGGACGUGCCAGCAGGCACAUUAAGUUCCCAUGUCUGGCCCUGGUCUAGGCGGCGGCCACCACCAGGAGAGGCUGCAGCCCAAACAGUGUAAGGGCAGUUAUUGCGGAUGGUGAAGGUAGCUCCAUCAGAGGAAGUGAAGAAAAGGGCAGAGAGCAGAAAGAUAGAAAUGAGAAAAAUGUUGAAGUUACUCAUGGUUGAUGGAUGGUGGUGGAGUGGUGCGAGGUGUUAGCGGGUCUAUAUAUAGGAGUAGGGCGGCUUUUGGCUUGUUGCAGAUGAUGGCAAGUGUACGCUUUCUAAUAACUAAAGUAGAGGCAGCUAUAAACUGUAGUUUUUCUGCAAAUCUUAAU